UUCUAUGAUAUCUCUAAUUUCUCUCCAUUAUUUCAAUAUUUCUUAAAUUCUCUAACACCCAUCAUCAUUAUGCCAUCAAAAACAUCGACCCGUUCUGGUGUCCAAGUCGAGCCAAGAGCAGCACGAGGUUCUCAACUGGGUUGGGUUUCUUGAAACUUCAGACUCCUGACGUUUUGCUUGUGGAUUUGGAGGAUAUGAUCGAGUCAUUCACGGAGGAGGUAAAGGAAAAAGUCAGAAUGAUGAUUAUGCUAAUCGAGAGGACUAAAAUCGAGAUUGUGGUUGCUAAUGAUUUUGAUUGGGAGCCUGAGUUAGAUUAGUAUUUAUAAUUUUUUUUAAUGUAUUAGUUAAUAUUUUUAAUUAAUAUGUUUAUGUAAUUGUCAUAAACUUAAAUGUUUAAUUGAUGUUUUUCAGUUACAUUUACUUAA